GAGUUUGAUCGUGGCUCAGGACGAACGCUGGCGGCGUGCCUAAUACAUGCAAGUCGAGCGGAUCUUCAUUAGCUUGCUUUUGAAGAUCAGCGGCGGACGGGUGAGUAACACGUGGGCAACCUGCCUGUAAGGACUGGGAUAACUUCGGGAAACCGGAGCUAAUACCGGAUGAUCCUUUUCCUCUCAUGAGGAAAAGCUGAAAGACGGUUUCGGCUGUCACUUACAGAUGGGCCCGCGGCGCAUUAGCUAGUUGGUGAGGUAACGGCUCACCAAGGCGACGAUGCGUAGCCGACCUGAGAGGGUGAUCGGCCACACUGGGACUGAGACACGGCCCAGACUCCUACGGGAGGCAGCAGUAGGGAAUCUUCCGCAAUGGACGAAAGUCUGACGGAGCAACGCCGCGUGAGCGAUGAAGGCCUUCGGGACGUAAAGGCUCUGUGUCAGGAGACAAGUAUCGGAGUAACUGCCGGUACCUU
rnacentral:rRNA from 1 species